rnacentral:rRNA from 1 species
UACAGAGGGGGCAAGCGUUGUUCGGAAUUACUGGGCGUAAAGGGCGCGUAGGCGGCCCGCUAAGUCGAACGUGAAAUCCCCGAGCUCAACUCGGGAACUGCGUCCGAUACUGGUGGGCUUGAGGUCCGGAGGGGAGAGUGGAAUUCCCGGUGGAGCGGUGAAAUGCGUAGAGAUCGGGAAGAACGCCGGCGGCGAAAGCGACUCUCUGGUCGGAUCCUGACGCUGAGGCGCGAAAGCUAGGGGAGCAAACGGG